AGUCUCUAGGGACAGGAUCACAUGGGUCACUAGGGGUGGGAUCACUAGGGGUAGGUUCAGGAUCACUAGGGGUAGGUUCACUAUGUUGUGUGUUACCCUCAGAAACAGUGGAGAGACUCGUCCUGCCCAUCUAGCAUCAUCAGCAGGGCAAAGUUCUCUCUCCACUCUGCUUCUGUAGCCUGGGGAGGUGGGGAUCCACAAAAACACACACAGAAAUUCAUUUUAUUCAAAACAGCAUUUUACUUCCUUAAUUACAGUUAAAUACGAGUUUUAAUUGCAAUAACAUGGAUGUUUUUUUGUUCUACUUUGUCAAAAUGCAUUCAUUAUUAAUUAAAUUGUGCAUUUUGAGAGUUAACACAUUGAAAACAAACAGCAAUUAAAGUUUUGAACUUCAUGACCCAGACUGAAACAAACAGGAACAGGAGUGGGCAACACAGCAGAGUUGUUUUCCCUCUCUGAAACAGGUUUCAACUGGUUGACACACACUGUGCAAAAAUGGCCUACAUGGACUUGCAGUACAGUUAAAAUAUUUAUUACAAACAUGCAAAAUAGCAGCUUUAACAAUGUCCUAUAUAAAAACAUUUCAACAUAAAAUAGCCAUAAAAUUCAUUCAUUUGCUUAGAAAUAUAGAAUUUGUUUCAAACAAGGUCAGAGGGUAGGCAGCCACAAUGCUGUCCUAUGUAAUGUAGUCAAUGAGGUUAUGUCGUAAGACAAAUGACAAUUGGUCAGUAGCUUGAGAGACUGCAUGAGUUGAAGAGAAUGGUACAGUAUGUUACAGCUGCAAAAUAUAGAAAGUGUGAGUGAGUCAGUCUCUUUCUGUGAUGAUACGUGGAGUGUGUGAGUGAGUCAGUCUCUUUCUGUGAUGAUACGUGGAGUGUGUGAGUGAGCCAGUCUCUUUCUGUGAUGAUACGUAGAGUGUGUGAGUGAGCCAGUCUCUUUCUGUGAUGAUACGUGGAGUGUGUGAGUGAGUCAGUCUCUUUCUGUGAGAAUACGUGGAGUGUGUGAGUGAGUCAGUCUCUUUCUGUGAUGAUACGUGGAGUGUGUGUGUGAGCCAGUCUCUUUCUGUGAUGAUACGUGGAGUGUGUGAAUGAGUCAGUCUCUUUCUGUGAUGAUACGUGGAGUGUGUGAGUGAGCCAGUCUCUUUCUGUGAUGAUACGUGGAGUGUGUGAGUGAGCCAGUCUCUUUCUGUGAUGAUACGUAGAGUGUGUGAGUGAGCCAGUCUCUUUCUGUGAUGAUACGUGGAGUGUGUGAGUGAGUCAGUCUCUUUCUGUGAGAAUACGUGGAGUGUGUGAGUGAGUCAGUCUCUUUCUGUGAUGAUACGUGGAGUGUGUGUGUGAGCCAGUCUCUUUCUGUGAUGAUACGUGGAGUGUGUGAGCCAGUCUCUUUCUGUGAUGAUACGUGGAGUGUGUGAGUCAGUCUCUUUCUGUGAUGAUACGUGGAGUGUGUGAGUCAGUCUCUUUCUGUGAUGAUACAUGGAGUGUGUGAGUGAGUCAGUCUCUUUCUGUGAUGAUACGUGGAGUGUGUGAGUCAGUCUCUUUCUGUGAUGAUACAUGGAGUGUGUGAGUGAGCCAGUCUCUUUCUGUGAUGAUACGUGGAGUGUCUGAGUGAGACAGUCUCUUUCUGUGAUGAUACGUGGAGUGUGUGAUUCAUCAGUCUCUUUCUGUGAUGAUACGUGGAGUGUGUGAGCCAGUCUCUUUCUGUGAUGAUACGUGGAGUGUGUGAGUGAGUCAGUCUCUUUCUUUAAUGAUACGUGGAGUGUGUGAGUCAGUCUCUUUCUGUGAUGAUACGUGGAGUGUGUGAGUGAGUCAGUCUCUUUCUGUGAUGAUACGUGGAGUGUGUGAGUGAGUCUCUUUCUGUGAUGAUACGUGGAGUGUGUGAGUGAGUCAGUCUCUUUCUGUGAUGAUACGUGGAGUGUGUGAGUCAGUCUCUUUC
rnacentral:lncRNA from 1 species